rnacentral:sRNA from 1 species
GAGUGAUUCAGAAGAAGACGAAGAAGAAGAAGAAGCUAGUGAAGUCA